UACGUAGGGUGCGAGCGUUAAUCGGAAUUACUGGGCGUAAAGCGUGCGCAGGCGGCGCCGCAAGUCAGGCGUGAAAUCCCCGAGCUUAACUUGGGAAUGGCGCUUGAAACUGCGGUGCUGGAGUGUGGCAGAGGGAGGUGGAAUUCCACGUGUAGCGGUGAAAUGCGUAGAGAUGUGGAGGAACACCGAUGGCGAAGGCAGCCUCCUGGGCCAACACUGACGCUCAUGCACGAAAGCGUGGGGAGCAAACAGG
rnacentral:rRNA from 1 species